rnacentral:snRNA from 1 species
GGGUGGGAGGGCGAUCUGGCUGCGACAUCUGUCACCUCAGUGAUCACCAGGAUUGAUUCGGCUGACCUGGCUUGGCUAGGUGGGUGUCCCCUUCCCCCCUUACCACUCCCAUGUGUGUCCCUCCCAAAGCUAGGUGCUUGGUCGAAGAGGAUAGCCGUCCCCGAUUUUACAAAAAAAAAAAA